rnacentral:tRNA from 1 species
AGCCCCGUAGUGUAGCGGCCAAUCAUUCCGCCCUCUGGAGGCGGGGACCCAGGUUCGAAUCCUGGCGGGGCUG